rnacentral:lncRNA from 1 species
GGGCGGGCGGCGCGUGCUCCAGCCGCGCGCGGGGCCAGGCCCGCUGGGAGGCCUCCGACGCGAAAGGAGCACAGCCCCUCUGCCUGUUUGUGGCUCCCCCGGUUUCCCCUGUGAGCGUCUUGGCCUCUCCGCGAGAGCGGGUCUCACCACAGACCUCCUCCGCAAAGUCGCUGCCUGGUCAGGAGAGGCCAGGAGGUGUCACAGCGAAGGCCGUCUCCUCAGGGUAGCCGUCCAGAGUGCGCCUGUCAAGUGCGGGGAGAGAAGCGAGCGGAGGCCUAGAAAGAUGAAACUCACAGAGAUAGAAAGCAACUAGCCCAAAACUCAACAAGAGCAAAUGGAUUGGAUUCCAGGUUUGUGCACUCAAACCGGUGCUCUUUUCACCAUGCUGCAUUGUCUCCAGAAGGAGGACUGGUUUGAAAACUUUCAAAAUAAAACAUCGGAGGAAGAAUUUCUUGGAAGAAAACCAGCUAGCCAAGUCUGCAUGUCUUCAUUCCCACGAACAUUCCAUGAAGAACUGACAGUGCAGCCUCUGAAAGACUUUUAUUUUCAAGAAAUAAAAGUUCUUUACAAUCCUGCACCUGUAAGUCUGGAUUGGGAGAUAGGAACGGAGAGAGGACUCGCUCUAUAAAGGGAAAUGAUAAAACAAACAUGCAUUUGAAAGAGCAACCAUUAAAAAAAACCCUGAGGAAGUAAGAGUCCCUUGGUUUUUACUGGGCCCUUGGCCCAUUAAGCAUCUCUGUAAACUGGGUAGAAAUCAUGUCUGCCUAGGUGAUGAAGAAUCAAGAGUUCCAGGGUGAAAAGAACCCUUGUUUUCACCUGGACUCUCUAGGGAGACAUGAAUAUAAUCAUCUUAUAUUAAUUAUAUAUUUCAGGGAGAAGGAAUUUCUUUUCAAGGGUGGCUUUAUUAAGGACAGAUGGGUCCUGGGGUCAUUCUCCUUGGAGCAUAAUUAUCAUGUUCUGAAGUAGUUUGAGAUCUUAAUGACUUGACUCCUUCGUAUCCACUGGUGUCAAAUUUAAAACCGACCACACAAAAUGUUGGGGGCAAAAAGUAGUCCAGUAAACAAACUUAUUAAUAGAAAUGAAAUCCCACAGGGAACACGGACACACUCAAGUCAGUGUGAUAUUAAAUUCCUGUAAUAAGUUAACAUGGAUUAAGCAAAACUUUUUAUAGUGCAAGUUCUUAGUAUCAAAUUUUGAAGCACAGCAACAUCUAAUAAUAUAAUUAUUUAUAUUAACCAUUUCUAAUAGGUUGCAAAUAAUGCUAAAGGGCUAUGUUGAAGGAAAACAUUGAUUUAUUCAAUAAAUAGUUAUUGGCUACCCAUUCUGUUCCUAAUUUGGGAAUAAAGCCAAGGACAUACCUUCUUGGAAUUCACUCUCCAUAGAUGAAGUAGACUUUAAAUUAUUACGUGAUGAGUUACAAUAGCAGGAAGUGCUACAUAAGAGUAGUCUGUACAUGUGACAUCUGGAGUACUUAGAUUUUGUGAAACAUUAAUAAUCAGAGGGGUAAAUUAUUAACUGUAGAAGUUUUUUUUUGUUUUUUUUUGCUUUUUAGGGCCACACCCGUGUCAUAUGGAGGUUCUCAGGCCAGGGAUUGAAUCAGAGCUACAGCUGCUGCCCUAUACCACAGCCACAGCAACGCCAGAUCUAAGCCACAUCUGCGACCUACACCACAGCUCAUGGCAAUGCUGGAUCCUUAACCCACUGAGUGAGGCCGGGGAUUGAACCCGCAACCUCGUGGUUCCUAGUUGGAUUCGUUUCCACUGCACCGCAACAGGAACACCGAGAACUAUUUUUUUAGUAUAUUUAAAGUUUUUCUGAAUUUCUUCAUUGGACAAAGGUAUUGUGAAAGCUUUUAAUUUAUUUUUUAAGGUCACUUCUUAAAUGCUAAAGGUUGAAACCUUUAUUGUCUUGCUUUGUUCCCUGUCCCAGUACUCCCAUUAGCGUGAUUGACUGGAUUGCUGUCUGCGGUGAUGGUGGGUGGGAAGGACACAUGGGGAGUUUACUCAUAGUCCUCCCCUCCAUCAGCACGGUGGUGUAGUUCCGUGGUUAAAAGUACCAAUACAAGUGUCAGAUUCUCGAGGUCAAAUCCAAGCUCUGCCGCUUGGCAGCUGAGUGGUCUGGGGCAAGUUACUUGACGUUCCUAAACCCUGUUUCCUCAGCUGAAAAUGGGGAUAGUAAUAGUACUACAUCCCUCUUUGAUCUAUAUCUAUUUGUUAUUUUAUAAAUGAGAUGCUGCCGGUAAAGCACUUGGCAGAAAGUGGGCCCUCAGUAGACUUUAGCUAUUUUCUUUUUACUUUAUUAUGACUAUUAGGUUGCCUGAUCAUUCAUAACCUCUUCUACUCUUGGCACACUCAUGGCUUUUUAUUCUUAUUUCCCAAGCUGAAUACAGGCAGAUACCUGAUUUCACACUGAAUGCCUUCAUCUUCUAAUCUUGUACUGAUGGUAAUCAGAGUGAGCUUUUAUUCAUGUAAAGAUAGAAAAAAAAAAAUUUAGGAGGUUCCUGUGUGGUUCAGUGUGUUAAGAACCUGACUAGUAUCCAUGAGGAUGCAGGUUCAAUCCCUGGCCUUGCUCAGUGGGUUAAGGAUCCAGCAUUGCUGCAAGCCAUGGUGGUUUAAGUUGCAGAUGUGGCUCAGAUCUGGCAUGACUGUGGCUUGGUAUAGGCUGACAGCUACAGCUUUGAUUCAACUGUAGCCUAGGAAUUUCCAUAUGCUGUGGGUUCAGCCCUAAAAAGGCUUCCGCGGCAUAUGGAGGUUCCCAGGCUAGGGGUCGAAUCGGAGCUGUAGCCACUGGCCUACGCCAGAGCCACAUCUGCAACCUACACCACAGCUCACGGCAACGCUGGAUCGUUACCCCACUGAGCAAGGGCAGGGACCGAACCCACAACCUCAUGGUUCCUAGUCAGAUUCGUUAACCACUGCGCCACGACGGGAACUCCCUGAACGAACAUUUAAGUUGACUGCAUAUAGGUUAGUAUGCUCAUGAGACCUGUUAGUGCCAGAGCCUUCUGAGUCCACUGGGGAUUUUUCUAGUGACUCUGGGAAAUUUACAUCUUUUUGCUUUUAUUUUUUUAGCUGGGCAGUGUGACAGAGUUGGCUAGUUGUCCUGAUAUUCUUCUCUGCCUUCUUUUUUCGUUAGAGAACCCUGAUUUGUCGUUGGACCUAUGGCUAGUCAGAAUAUAGACUACAUUUCCCAGGCUCUCUUGCAGCUCAGUGUAGUCAUGUGACUAAGUUCUAGCCAAAGGGCUGUGGCUAGAAGAGAUAUGUUCUCCAGAGGAAAGGUGUGCUCUCUUUCCUCUUCCCAUUCUAUCAGCCAGGAUGUGGAUGUGGUGAGCUAUCCGGACCGUGCAGUUGAGGGUAACACCCUAGCAAAAGUGGAAGGAACUUGGGUUUGUGAUGCUAUGGAGCAGUCAUGUUAUAUGAAGGAGAGAAAUAAAUUUCUGUUUGAUUUAAGUGUGGUUACUCAGUCUUCAUUGCUGCAGUGGUGCCUAUGUCAUAAAAAAUCCAGGCAGCAAUGAGUAAUAGCAGAAGGGUAUCUGCAGUCCACUCCUGACCUUCUUCUUUGUGGCUUGAAUCCUGGGGAAAAUGCUGGGGUGUGUAAGUGCGUGUGUGUAUGUGUGUGUAUUUCAUUUUACUCUGUGCGAAAGAACUCAUUUACCAAACACAUACAAUAUUUAUAUUGAGAGUUCCAAGCAUUUUACCAGGCAUACACAUAUGUAUGUACGUACAUUCAUGUAUCAAAUACAGUUUCUGUGUUUAAUAAACAUACAGCCUAGAAUUGGGAGAAUCUAUGUAGUCGUAGAAGUACUUUAUGGCCAAAUGACCAAGAUAAUGGGCAUUAGAAAAUUUCAGGAAGCCUGGGGCACCGUUUUUACUCUGAACCUGAUGAGUUAGCCAUGCAAGUAGAAAGAUAGUUUCCAGAAAGACAAGGGGUGGGAGUUAACUACUCUUAGUUUUCUGCAUUGUUUAUAGAACACCCUACAGACAAGACUCCAUCAGUUCUGUGCCAGGGUCCCCCUCCAUUGUCUUUGGAUCUUUCUGGGCCCUGUCUCUCUCCCACUCAUGAUCCAGAAGCCUCUGUUAUCUCACAGACCUGGCUCUCCCUUCAUCCCUUCCUGUGAGGCUGGUAGCCAGCAUCACUGGUCCAGUUUCACAGACUGAGCAACUGAGUCAUUUUUCUAUUGUUACUGGACCAAAGUUAACCAGUGAGUCAUUCUAAAGUCCUAGAACCGGAUCCUAAUUCUUGUUCCUGGCAUCAUUCACAGAGCUGAAUUACCCUGAAGGUUCAAGAGGAUGUUGGCCUCUGGACGUCUCAGAGAGGAAUGCAUUUCGUGUGACUGAGUCAAAAAUAAGGAUUAACUCUCUCUUGAAAACUGCAGGCCUGAAGAGUAAAAAGGGGGAGAAAUGUAUCUGUAUAACAUCAUCCUGCCAGAAGGAUUCUUAACUGCUCUCUAAAUGUUCCACAAAUUCUCUGGUUCAUGGCUUCCUUAGAGUUAGGUUUUUAAAUAGAGAAUAUCGUAUUUGAAGUUGAGGCAAUCAAUUUUCUUCGUCUUAUGACAGUCACUUAUGUGAAUUUAGAUCUGAGAAGAAACUAAAUUUAUUUCCUUCUUUUCACAAGAGAAUCUUUAAAGUAUCUGG